AAUCCAGCAGCUCAAGUGAAAAACGACAACAGAAAUUAAGGAUGUACCGUAUAUACUCGAAGAUAAGACGAGUUUUUCAGCCCUUAUUUAUGAGCUGAAAAAGCCUCCCCGGCUUAUAUUCGGGUCAAGGUCAAGCCAGCAGGAGGUCACAGUAUGUUUUCUUUUCCAAAACCUCCCUUCUUUGCUUCUACUCCCAGGCUGGUUAUCUUAAUUUUUUUUGAGAGAGAGACAGAGACAAGAAGCAAAUGUUUUCAAAAGUGAAAGGAGAAUGUGAAAGAAAGAAACCCUUGCAAGCCAGAUUGCAUGGGUAGAAGGGGAAGGAAAAAAGAUGUUCUUGCAAAUUUGCACGAUUCAUUACUACUACUACUACUACUACUACUACUACUACUACUAUUGCAAGAACAUUUGAGUCCAAAGGGAGGGAAAGAGGGAAAAGAGAGCAACAGCAGCCAAAAGGUGGAUUCAGAGCAUAGAGGACUGUAAACCCUGGUGCUACAAUGACAUGCCACCUCAUCACACUGGGACAAAUUGCCCCUUUGCAGCACUUUGGGGAUGAGACCUUCAGAGCACCAUCACAUGACACUUGGCAGGUCCCACCCCAUUGAUGCUUGAAGUGCCAAGAAAGCCUACGCUUGGGUAAGUGUCCGAUGCAGCUACCUU
rnacentral:lncRNA from 11 species